rnacentral:lncRNA from 1 species
ACAAAAUAGCAGUAAUAGGCAAUCAUCAAAUUACAUAAGUGCCAGAGCACAUGAUAACUCCAAAACCUGUGGCAUGAAUAAAUCAAAAUUAAUUUUUGGCUGCCUCUAAUACAAACAUCCAAACAUGUAUGAUUAUCUUCCAAAUAUAACCCUACUUUUAGCUCAGUCUGACACAUUCUGUUCUAUUCCAUAGCAUCACAAAAUACUCACACCAAGUUAAAUACAUCCCAAUCAAACAAAAUAGAGAACCUAAUAAGCUACCUUUAAAUUAUAUUGAGUAUACAACCAUACAUCAAAAAUUGUCUCUGGUACAAGAAAAUCAAGGCUCCAGAAUGUUAAGUAGUUCAAUCUUUCAUAAAGUAACAAGGUUUAAUCAUACACAAGCAAAUUAGUCAAAUUAAGGCUCUGUUUGGGAAGAACAUAUCAAAGAGAUUAAAAGGAAGAAGACGAAGACGAAGAACGCGGCUUAGUAGACGGAAGACGACGAACUCCGAGCUGACCUCGAGGAAGAAGCUGCUAUCAGUGAGAGCGAACAGGGGGUUGGAGACUUGGAGCUCGCGGACAGGACGAAGAGGGAAGCUCCUGAGUGCGAUGGAUGGCGGCAGUGUCCCACUCCUUGCGGUGGCAGUGGUGGAGGAUAGAUGUCUAGGGUUUUUUUUGGUUGAGGGUAGUGCAAGGUUCUGAAUUGUGAAGGAAAGAAAAGGAGAGAGGGG